rnacentral:rRNA from 1 species
UACGGAGGGGGCAAGCGUUAUUCGGAAUUAUUGGGCGUAAAGAGCGCGCAGGCGGUCGGAUUAGUCGCGUGUGAAAGCCCCCGGCUCAACUGGGGAGGGUCACGCGAUACUGUUCGACUCGAAGGCAGGAGAGGGAAGUGGAAUUCCCGGUGUAGUGGUGAAAUGCGUAGAUAUCGGGAGGAACACCAGUGGCGAAGGCAGCUCGCUGGGACGGUACUGACGCUGAGGCGCGAAAGCGUGGGGAGCAAACAGG